AACGAACGCUGGCGGCAGGCUUAACACAUGCAAGUCGAACGCCCCGCCAGGGGAGUGGCAGACGGGUGAGUAACGCGUGGGAACAUACCCUUUUCUACGGAAUAGCUCUGGGAAACUGGUAUUAAUACCGUAUACGCCCUACGGGGGAAAGAUUUAUCGGGGAAGGAUUGGCCCGCGUUGGAUUAGCUAGUUGGUGGGGUAAAGGCCUACCAAGGCGACGAUCCAUAGCUGGUCUGAGAGGAUGAUCAGCCACAUUGGGACUGAGACACGGCCCAAACUCCGACGGGAGGCAGCAGUGGGGAAUAUUGGACAAGGGGGGCAAGCCUGAUCAAGCCAUGUCGCGUGAGUGAUGAAGGCCGUAGGGUUGUAAAGCUCUUUCACCGAUGAAGAUAAUGACGGUAGUCGGAGAAGAAGCCCCGGCUAACUUCGUG
rnacentral:rRNA from 1 species